rnacentral:rRNA from 1 species
UACGUAGGGUGCAAGCGUUGUCCGGAAUUAUUGGGCGUAAAGAGCUCGUAGGCGGCUUGUCGCGUCGGUUGUGAAAGCCCGGGGCUUAACCCCGGGUCUGCAGUCGAUACGGGCAGGCUAGAGUUCGGUAGGGGAGAUCGGAAUUCCUGGUGUAGCGGUGAAAUGCGCAGAUAUCAGGAGGAACACCGGUGGCGAAGGCGGAUCUCUGGGCCGAUACUGACGCUGAGGAGCGAAAGCGUGGGGAGCGAACAGG